UAUGCCUGGCCCACUAUUACAAAUGCAAAGAAUAAGCAUGUUUUCAAAUAGCACUCUGUGUUGCCAAUGAUGUAUCAACACCCUAUGCCAUUACUCUUCUCUAAAUGUGAUAAUAAUGUGCUCUGUUAACAUAAAAAAAAGUUUGAUGCCACAAAGCAGCUGGAAAUGGACAACUGAAAUACGCAUAUAUCUAACUCGUAUCAUCAAAUGCACAGUUUGAUGUAUGUUGUUUAAAGCUUUUCAUAUAUUUCUACUCCUCUCAAGCAAAAACAUAAAUUGAGAACUUCUGCAGUUCUCACUUCGUACUGAUGGAUUUUACAACUUACAAGUAUCUUUUGGGUUUGGAGGGAAAACAAUAUUGGUUCACCAGAGGUACUUUUAGGCAUUAAGAG
rnacentral:sRNA from 1 species